AUUAAAGGGAAUGGGUGUCGGAAGCCGAGGGUCUGAAGUUCUCGACUCAUAGAAGGGGAGGGGAAUGAAAGGCUCUCAGUAAAGAAGGUACCAAGAUUAUUUCUGAAUAGCCAGUCUGUCUCAGUUUGUAUUUUGAGGGAAUAAAAAGGAAAAAGGAAUCUUUGGGCACCUUCUGGAGCUUUCAGGUUGUUCCCAAGUUCUGAUGGUCAUAAUUAGCAUUGCUAUAAACAUCUCUAAUCAGGAAUUGAUUUAG